rnacentral:rRNA from 1 species
UACGUAGGUCCCGAGCGUUGUCCGGAUUUAUUGGGCGUAAAGCGAGCGCAGGUGGUUUAUUAAGUCUGGUGUAAAAGGCAGUGGCUCAACCAUUGUAUGCAUUGGAAACUGGUAGACUUGAGUGCAGGAGAGGAGAGUGGAAUUCCAUGUGUAGCGGUGAAAUGCGUAGAUAUAUGGAGGAACACCGGUGGCGAAAGCGACUCUCUGGCCUGUAACUGACACUGAGUCUCGAAAGCGUGGGGAGCAAACAGG